GAGAAAGCUCGCAAGGACUGCUAAUUCUAUGCCUCCAUGGCUAAUACCAUGGCUUCCUCA
rnacentral:tRNA from 1 species